UUGAACGCUGGCGGCAGGCUUAACACCUGCAAGUCGAACGGUAACAGGAAGCAGCUUGCUGCUUCGCUGACGAGUGGCGGACGGGUGAGUAAUGUCUGGGAAGCUGCCUGAUGGAGGGGGAUAACUACUGGAAACGGUAGCUAAUACCGCAUAAUGUCGCAAGACCAAAGAGGGGGACCUUCGGGCCUCUUGCCAUCGGAUGUGCCCAGAUGGGAUUAGCUUGUUGGUGGGGUAACGGCUCACCAAGGCGACGAUCCCUAGCUGGUCUGAGAGGAUGACCAGCCACACUGGAACUGAGACACGGUCCAGACUCCUACGGGAGGCAGCAGUGGGGAAUAUUGCACAAUGGGCGCAAGCCUGAUGCAGCCAUGCCGCGUGUAUGAAGAAGGCCUUCGGGUUGUAAAGUACUUUCAGCGGGGAGGAAGGGAGUAAAGUUAAUACCUUUGCUCAUUGACGUUACCCGCAGAAGAAGCACCGGCUAACUCCGUG
rnacentral:rRNA from 1 species